rnacentral:rRNA from 1 species
ACGGAAGGCAGCAGCUAAGAGUAUUCCGCAAUGGACGAAAGUCUGACGGGGCGACGCCGCGUGGAUGAUGAAGGUCGGAAGAUUGUAAAAUCCUUUUAUAACUGAGGAAUAAGCAGUGUGAGAGAAACGCAUCGCGGUGACUGUAGGUUAUGAAUAAGCAACGGCUAAUUACGUGCCAGCAGCCGCGGUAACACGUAAGUUGCGAGCGUUGUUCGGAAUUAUUGGGCGUAAAGGGCAUGUAGGCGGUUUUGCAAGCUUGAUGUGAAAGGCAGGAGCUUAACUCCUGGACUGCGUUGAGAACUGCAUGACUAGAGUCACUGAGGGGCAAUCAGAAUUCCUGGUGUAGGGGUGAAAUCUGUAGAUAUCAGGAAGAAUACCAAUGGCGAAGGCAGGUUACCAGCAGAUGACUGACGCUGAGGUGCGAAGGUGCGGGGAGCAAACAGGAUUAGAUACCCUGGUA